UGCCAGCCGCCGCGGUAAUACAUAGGGGUCAAGCGUUGUCCGGAUUUAUUGGGCGUAAAGAGCUCGUAGGCGGUUCAACAAGUCGGUCGUUAAAGACUAGGGCUCAACCCUAGAAAAGCAAUGGAUACUACUAGACUAGAGUAUGGCAGGGGUAGAGGGAAUUUCUAGUGUAGCGGUGAAAUGCGUAGAUAUUAGAAAGAACACCGGUGGCGAAAGCGCUCUACUGGACCAUUACUGACACUCAGAGGCGAAAGCUAGGGUAGCAAAAGGGAUUAGAUA
rnacentral:rRNA from 1 species